rnacentral:rRNA from 6 species
UAUAAUGGGUCAGCGACUUAUAUUCUGUAGCAAGGUUAACCGUAUAGGGGAGCCGCAGGGAAACCGAGUCUUAACUGGGCGUUAAGUUGCAGGGUAUAGACCCGAAACCCGGUGAUCUAGCCAUGGGCAGGUUGAAGGUUGGGUAACACUAACUGGAGGACCGAACCGACUAAUGUUGAAAAAUUAGCGGAUGACUUGUGGCUGGGGGUGAAAGGCCAAUCAAACCGGGAGAUAGCUGGUUCUCCCCGAAAGCU